GGCCUCGUAGCGCAGGUGGUAGAGCGUGCACUUACAAAGCGUAUGCGGCGUCCAUGCUUGGGUCCGAAUCCCACCGAGACUA
rnacentral:tRNA from 1 species